UUAGGCAGUCAUACACUUGACAGAGUGUUCCCCUCGAUAUUUUUAGUGCCCAACUGGCACCACACAUAGUUAUUGCGAUAUUGACUAUAUUCCCUCCACUGUACUUUACAUCCCCUUGGCUACUUUGUGACUGCCAAUUUGGACUUCUGAAUCCCUUCACUUUUUUCACCCA